rnacentral:rRNA from 1 species
GAUGAACGCUGGCGGCGUGCCUAACACAUGCAAGUCGAACGGAGAUUACGGACGGAAGUUUUCGGAUGGAAGCCUGUAAUUCUUAGUGGCGGACGGGUGAGUAACGCGUGGGCAACCUGCCCUAUACAGGGGGAUAGCAGCUGGAAACGGCUGGUAAGACCGCAUAAGUCGGUUAAAUCGCAUGAUUUGAUCGGGAAAUGAGCAAUCAGGUAUAGGAUGGGCCCGCGUCCGAUUAGCCAGUUGGCAGGGUAAAAGCCUACCAAAGCGACGAUCGGUAGCCGGACUGAGAGGUCGGACGGCCACAUUGGGACUGAGACACGGCCCAAACUCAUACGGGAGGCAGCAGUGGGGGAUAUUGCACAAUGGAGGAAACUCUGAUGCAGCGACGCCGCGUGAGUGAAGAAGUAUUUCGGUAUGUAAAGCUCUAUCAGCAGGGAAGAUGAUGACGGUACCUGACUAAGAAGCCCCGGCUAACUACGUG